rnacentral:rRNA from 1 species
CGCGAAGGCGCACGUGGUAGGGGAGCGUUCUGUAGGCUGAUGAAGGUGCAUUGAGAAGUGUGCUGGAGGUAUCAGAAGUGCGAAUGCUGACAUGAGUAACGAUAAUGUGGGUGAAAAGCCCACACGCCGGAAGUCCCAGGUUUCCUGCACGACGUUAAUCGGAGCAGGGUGAGUCGGCCCCUAAGGCGAGGCUGAAGAGCGUAGUCGAUGGGAACCAGGUUAAUAUUCCUGGACUUUUUAUAAGUGGUGAAGUGGGGACGAAGAAGGCUAGGUGAGCCAGGCGUUGGUUGUCCUGGUACUUGCAUGUAGGGGGGAAGACUUGGCAAAUCCGGUUUUCCAUAACUCUGAGGUGCGAAGUGGUUCUGACCUUUUGGUACAGAGAAGUCAUUGAUGCCCGGCUUCCAGGAAAAGCUGCUAGCCAUAACUUAUAGAGAACCGUACCGCAAACCGACACAGGUGGACAGGUAGAGAAUACUAAGGCGCUUGAGAGAACUCGGGUGAAGGAACUAGGCAAAAUGGUACCGUAACUUCGGGAGAAGGUACGCCCUUUUGGGUGAGGGCAUUUACUGUCUGAGCUUAAGAGGGCCGCAGAGACCAGGUGGCUGCGACUGUUUAUUAAAAACACAGCACUCUGCAAAUUCGUAAGAAGACGUAUAGGGUGUGACGCCUGCCCGGUGCCGGAAGGUUAAUUGAUGGGGUUAUCUUCGGAGAAGCUCUUGAUCGAAGCCCCGGUAAACGGCGGCCGUAACUAUAACGGUCCUAAGGUAGCGAAAUUCCUUGUCGGGUAAGUUCCGACCUGCACGAAUGGCGUAACGAUGGCCACACUGUCUCCACCCGAGACUCAGUGAAAUUGAAAUCGCUGUGAAGAUGCAGUGUACCCGCGGCUAGACGGAAAGACCCCGUGAACCUUUACUAUAGUUUUGCACUGGACUUUGAUGAUGACUGUGUAGGAUAGGUGGGAGGCUGUGAAGUGAGGACGCUAGUUCUCAUGGAGCCGCCCUUGAAAUACCACCCUGUUGUUAUUGAGGUUCUAACUUGGUCCAGUAAUCCUGGAUGAGGACAGUGUAUGAUGGGUAGUUUGACUGGGGCGGUCUCCUCCCAAAGAGUAACGGAGGAGCACAAAGGUACCCUCGGUACGGUCGGACAUCGUACCAAGAGUGUAAAGGCAAAAGGGUGCUUGACUGCGAGAGUGACGGCUCGAGCAGGAACGAAAGUUGGUCUUAGUGAUCCGGUGGUUCUGAAUGGAAGGGCCAUCGCUCAACGGAUAAAAGGUACUCCGGGGAUAACAGGCUGAUACCGCCCAAGAGUUCAUAUCGACGGCGGUGUUUGGCACCUCGAUGUCGGCUCAUCACAUCCUGGGGCUGAAGCAGGUCCCAAGGGUAUGGCUGUUCGCCAUUUAAAGUGGUACGCGAGCUGGGUUUAGAACGUCGUGAGACAGUUCGGUCCCUAUCUGCCGUGGGCGUAGGAAAAUUGAGAGGAGCUGCUCCUAGUACGAGAGGACCGGAGUGGACGAACCUCUGGUGCACCGGUUGUCACGCCAGUGGCAUGGCCGGGUAGCUAAGUUCGGACGGGAUAACCGCUGAAAGCAUCUAAGCGGGAAGCCUCCCUCAAGAUGAGUUUUCCCAUGAAGCCCGUUGAAGACUACGACGUUGAUAGGCAAGGUGUGGAAGCGCAGUAAUGCGUGAAGCUAACUUGUACUAAUUGGCUGAUUGUCUUGACCAU